GACGAACGCUGGCGGCGUGCCUAAUACAUGCAAGUCGAGCGCAGGAAACUGACGGAACUCUUCGGAGGGAAGGCAGUGGAAUGAGCGGCGGACGGGUGAGUAACACGUAAGGAACCUGCCUCAAGGAUUGGGAUAACUCCGAGAAAUCGGAGCUAAUACCGGAUAGUUCAUCGGACCGCAUGGUCCGUUGAUGCAUGGCGCUCCGGCGUCAUCUUGAGAUGGCCUUGCGGUGCAUUAGCUAGUUGGUGGGGUAACGGCCCACCAAGGCGACGAUGCAUAGCCGACCUGAGAGGGUGAUCGGCCACACUGGGACUGAGACACGGCCCAGACUCCUACGGGAGGCAGCAGUAGGGAAUCUUCCACAAUGGACGAAAGUCUGAUGGAGCAACGCCGCGUGAGUGAUGAAGGUUUUCGGAUCGUAAAACUCUGUUGUAAGGGAAGAACACGUACGAGAGGGAAUGCUCGUACCUUGACGGUACCUUACGAGAAAGCCACGGCUAACUACGUGCCAGCCGCCGCCGUAA
rnacentral:rRNA from 1 species